rnacentral:lncRNA from 1 species
CCGAUAAUCUGCUUCUGCUCUGUUUCGCGUCGGGCUUCCAAUAUACUUUUGCACCGACAACCACUGCCUCCCCUUUCGAAAGGCUGGCCUUGGAGCAUCCGAGGUUGUCGUGAAGGACAAAGAACAUCUGUGGGCACCGGGAAGCCCACAGGGAGAAAAUGGAGGGUGAUUUUAAAACACGCCUUGGAUGUCAGCAGGGUUAGGGAGCGAGCACAGCCGAUAUUAUUAUGCAGCCCAGACCUUGUGGGUUUGCAGAAUAGCAAA